AUGCAGUGGGCUUUCCCUCUAAUUCUAGCUUUUCUGUCUCGUGCCAGUCAGAUAUCACCCAACUUGGAAGGGAGAAUGAUGCCAAUCAUCAGGCCAACCGGAUCGGCUGUUGUUAUCACUUGUGAUAUUAUUUAACGCAGUACCAAGUACAUCCACUGGUACCUCUACCAGGAGAGCAAGGCCCCACAACACCUUCUGCACUACUCCUUCUACACCUCCAAAGCUGUGGUGGAUUCAAAAAUCAGCCGAGGGAAAUACCAUGCUUAUGAAGGUACAGAGAGGAGUUGUAAAUUGGUACUGCAAAAUCUGAAAGCACGUGACUCUGGUGUGUAUUAUUGUGCCACCUGGCUGCACAGUGAUUCAAACCUGCCCUACGCCACACUGAAAAUCUUGCUUGUGGCUGCACCUGGUACACAAGACAGACCAGCCCCUGUCUCACUUCAGGCCCGGACUUCACCUUAUUCCGAAUAG